rnacentral:rRNA from 1 species
AAACUGCGAAUGGCUCAUUAAAUCAGUUAUCGUUUAUUUGAUAGUACCUUACUACUUGGAUAACCGUGGUAAUUCUAGAGCUAAUACAUGCGCAAAACCCCGACUUCGGAAGGGGUGUAUUUAUUAGAUAAAAAACCAAUGCCCUUCGGGGCUCUCUGGUGAUUCAUAAUAACUAAACGAAUCGCAUGGCCUUGCGCCGGCGAUGGUUCAUUCAAAUUUCUGCCCUAUCAACUUUCGAUUGUAGAGUAGUGGUCUACAAUGGUUUCAACGGGUAACGGGGAAUUAGGGUUCGACUCCGGAGAGGGAGCCUGAGAAACGGCUACCACAUCCAAGGAAGGCAGCAGGCGCGCAAAUUACCCAAUCCCGACACGGGGAGGUAGUGACAAUAAAUACUGAUACAGGGCUCUUUUGGGUCUUGUAAUUGGAAUGAGUACAAUUUAAAUCCCUUAACGAGGAACAACUGGAGGGCAAGUCUGGUGCCAGCAGCCGCGGUAAUUCCAGCUCCAGAAGCGUAUAUUAAAGUUGUUGCAGUUAAAAAGCUCGUAGUUGAAUUUUGGGCCUGGCUGGCCGGUCCGCCUCACCGCGUGCACUGGUCCGGCCGGGCCUUUCCUUCUGGGGAUCCGCAUGCCCUUUACUGGGUGUGUUGGGGAACCAGGACUUUUACUUUGAAAAAAUUAGAGUGUUCAAAGCAGGCCUUUGCUCGAAUACAUUAGCAUGGAAUAAUAGAAUAGGACGGCUUUCCUAUUUUGUUGGUUUCUAGGGAAGCCGUAAUGAUUAAUAGGGAUAGUCGGGGGCAUCAGUAUUCAAUUGUCAGAGGUGAAAUUCUUGGAUUUAUUGAAGACUAACUACUGCGAAAGCAUUUGCCAAGGAUGUUUUCAUUAAUCAGUGAACGAAAGUUAGGGGAUCGAAGACGAUCAGAUACCGUCGUAGUCUUAACCAUAAACUAUGCCGACUAGGGAUCGGGCGAUGUUACUAUCUUGACUCGCUCGGCACCUUACGAGAAAUCAAAGUUUUUGG